AUCAACUUCUGUCCUUCAAAGUCAGUAUAUAACAAUAUCUAAUCCCUAUUCACAUACGGAACCAAUGAUAGUGGUUUAAAAACAGUAAAACCCCGCGGGACAAUAAUACAGCGACGCCAGCUACUCACGUAUUUCCGGCCAGCUCAGCGUACGGAGGAGUGUUGUGAAGCUGCAAUCCAGACACAGACAUUUUUACAGCUGUUAACCGCUUCACAUACACCUGCCGUGCGUACAUCUUGACAUUUCAGCGAAAUGGUGCUGCUGACAAUGAUCGCGCGGCUGGCGGACGGACUGCCGCUGGCGGCUUCAAUGCAGGAGGACGAGCAGGGAAAUGAAAAGAUGGGCCGAGAUCUCCAGCAAUAUCAGAGCCAAGCCAAACAGCUCUUCCGCAAGUUAAAUGAACAGAGUCCAAACCGAUGCACCUUAGAGGCUGGAUCAAUGGCCUUCCACUAUGUCAUAGAGAAAGGCGUUUGCUAUCUGGUGCUCUGUGAGGCUGGGUUUCCUAAAAAGCUAGCCUUCGCUUAUCUCGAAGAUCUGCAGGCAGAGUUUCAUGAACAGCAUGGCAAGAAGGUGCCCACGAUCUCCAGGCCCUACUCCUUCAUAGAGUUUGAUACAUAUAUUCAGAAAACCAAAAAGUCAUACAUCGACAGCAGAGCACGUAGGAACCUGAGCAACAUCAACACAGAGUUACAGGAUGUACAGAGAAUCAUGGUGGCCAACAUAGAAGAAGUUCUGCAAAGAGGGGAGGCCUUAUCUGCGUUGGAUUCAAAGGCCAGCAACUUGUCCAGCCUGUCCAAGAAAUACAGAAGUGACGCUAAGUACCUGAACACUCGCUCCACAUAUGCUAAGCUAGCUGCGGGUGGAGUCUUCUUCAUCAUGCUGAUCGUGUACAUACGCUUCUGGUGGCUGUGAGGUGUGGGAUGUAUGGAGGGAAGAGGAGCUCUUGAGAAAGUUGCAGUGUUGGACUCGAAAGCCAGCAACUUGUCCAGCCUGUCCUAGAAAUACAGAAGUGACGCUAAGUACCUGAACACUCGCUCCACAUAUGCUAAGCUAGCUGCGGGUGGAGUCUUCUUCAUCAUGCUGAUCGUGUACAUACGCUUCUGGUGGCUGUGAGGUGUGGGAUGUAUGGAGGAAAGAGGAGCUCUUGAGAAAGUUGCAGCUCUCCUGCUGUCCUCUUUCUCCUCCUGUUUCUCCUCUCUCACGCUCCCUAGAUUCGCAUCACAGAGCCUGAGCAGCUGUACUCCAGUCUACAGGGGUCGUAAAAACCAGGGACGAAAGAGGAAGUUUUGAGGGAGCUCGUGAGUUAUUACCCCCCAACGUACACACGGGGGCCUGGGAACUGCCCUCCUCCCUCACCCGGCCUGAAACGACUGACGGCUGAAGCUUGAUGCCCCUCCACCCUGUGUGUACACAAUCUCCAUUACAUACACUAAAAGGAGUGACUCCCGUACUGAGGUCACACUAAACCUCAUAUGUGUAGCUCAUCAGCCAUAUGGGAGCGUAUAGUUAUGUGUCACUGUAAUUGUGUUAGAUCUGUAAGGAUACUUCGUCUUGCUGCUUAACUAGGUUUUGGAAAAGGUUUCAGAUUCAGUCGACAUCAUUUGUGGCAUAAUGUUGAUUA